GGGUCCGUAGUCUCAGUUGGUAGAGUGCCCGAUUUGCANUCAGGAGGUCGUCGGUUCGAGCCCGACCGGAUCCA